CUCCGAUAGCGUAUAUUAAAGUUGUUGCAGUUAAAAAGCUCGUAGUUGAAUUUCGGGAUCAAUACGUCGGUCGUGCUUCGGUACGUACUGGCGUCAUUGAUUUCUCCCUUCUGACGAACCAUGAUGUCAUUAACUUGGUGUCAUGGGAAAUCAGGACUGUUACUUUGAAAAAAUUAGAGUGUUUAAAGCAGGCUCACGCUUGAAUACAUUAGCAUGGAAUAAUGAAAUAGGACGUUCGUUCCUAUUUUGUUGGUUUCUAGGAUUGACGUAAUGAUUAAUAGGGAUAGUUGGGGGCAUUAGUAUUCAAU
rnacentral:rRNA from 1 species